UACGGAGGGGGCAAGCGUUAUUCGGAAUUAUUGGGCGUAAAGGGCGCGUAGGCGGCUAGAUGUGUCAAAGGUGAAAUCCCUCGGCUCAACUGAGGAACUGCCUUUGAAACUGUCUGGCUUGAGGCCGGGAGAGGGUAGCGGAAUUCCCAGUGUAGCGGUGAAAUGCGUAGAUAUUGGGAGGAACACCAGUGGCGAAGGCGGCUACCUGGACCGGAACUGACGCUGAUGCGCGAAAGCGUGGGUAGCAAACAGG
rnacentral:rRNA from 1 species